GAUGAACGCUGGCGGCGUGCCUAAUACAUGCAAGUCGAGCGAACAGACGAGGAGCUUGCUCCUCUGACGUUAGCGGCGGACGGGUGAGUAACACGUGGAUAACCUACCUAUAAGACUGGGAUAACUUCGGGAAACCGGAGCUAAUACCGGAUAAUAUAUUGAACCGCAUGGUUCAAUAGUGAAAGACGGUUUUGCUGUAACUUAUAGAUGGAUCCGCGCCGCAUUAGCUAGUUGGUAAGGUAACGGCUUACCAAGGCAACGAUGCGUAGCCGACCUGAGAGGGUGAUCGGCCACACUGGAACUGAGACACGGUCCAGACUCCUACGGGAGGCAGCAGUAGGGAAUCUUCCGCAAUAGGCGAAAGCCUGACGGAGCAACGCCGCGUGAGUGAUGAAGGUCUUCGGAUCGUAAAACUCUGUUAUUAGGGAAGAACAAAUGUGUAAGUAACUAUGCACGUCUUGACGGUACCUAAUCAGAAAGCCCCGGCUAACUACGUG
rnacentral:rRNA from 1 species